rnacentral:rRNA from 1 species
UACGGGGGGGGGCAAGCGUUGUUCGGAAUUACUGGGCGUAAAGCGUGCGCAGGUGGCCGCGCAAGUCGAGUGUGAAAUCCCCGAGCUUAACUUGGGAAUUGCGCUCGAAACUACGUGGCUAGAGUGUGGCAGAGGGAGGUGGAAUUCCACGUGUAGCGGUGAAAUGCGCAGAUAUCAGGAGGAACACCGGUGGCGAAGGCGGGUCUCUGGGCAGUAACUGACGCUGAGGAGCGAAAGCGUGGGGAGCGAACAGG